CUUUCCAGCAGUCCAAGAUAUUAGUCAAUGCUCGAAAGAGUGAACUAGCUACUGAAUCAAUUAAAAUUGAUAACAUAAGGGAAAAUAAUGAUAUUACCUUAUUAUUAGUGUCGUCCAAAACUGGUGCCAGAAGACUCGGUAAGGCCAGAGACACGAACGUUAAUCGUCUUAAUCAGGCGUAAAGGGUUUGUAGGCGGCUUACAAAUUUAUUUAAAUAAUAUUAAGUAAAGAAUAAAAGCUAGAAUCAAAUAGAGGAUAUAUGAAAGAAUGCUUAGAGUAGGUCUGAUAUCCUUAGAUACUAAGUAGAAUAUUAAAGGCGAAAGCUUUUUUCCAUUAAUGAUUGACGCUCAGAAACGAAGGUGAGGAUAGGAAAUAGGAUUAGAUACCCAGAAUACCCCUCUCUGUCAACGAUGAAUGGUAGUUAUUAGUAAAAAUUAUUAAUGGCAAUGUUAACACGAUAACCAUUCCGCCUUGUGAGUACAACUGCAAAGUUGAAAACAAAAAAAUUAGUCGGUUUCGGAGCAAACGAAGUGAAGCAUGUUAUUUAAUUCG
rnacentral:rRNA from 1 species